UACGUAGGGUGCGAGCGUUAAUCGGAAUUACUGGGCGUAAAGGGUGCGCAGGCGGUUGAGUAAGACAGAUGUGAAAUCCCCGAGCUUAACUCGGGAAUGGCAUAUGUGACUGCUCGACUAGAGUGUGUCAGAGGGAGGUGGAAUUCCACGUGUAGCAGUGAAAUGCGUAGAUAUCGAGAGGAACACUCGUGGCGAAGGCGGGUUCCUGGGACAUAACUGACGCUCAGGCACGAAAGCGUGGGGAGCAAACAGG
rnacentral:rRNA from 1 species